rnacentral:rRNA from 1 species
UACGUAGGGUGCAGGCGUUAAUCGGAAUUACUGGGCGUAAAGCGUGCGCAGGCGGUUUCUUAAGUCAGAUGUGAAAUCCCCGGGCUUAACCUGGGAACUGCAGUCGAGACUGUCUAGCUAGAGUAUGGGAGAGGGAAGUGGAAUUUCAGGUGUAGCGGUGAAAUGCGUAGAUAUCUGAAGGAACAUCAGUGGCGAAAGCGACUUCCUGGACCAAUACUGACGCUCAUGUGCGAAAGCGUGGGGAGCAAACAGG